UACGAAAGGUGCGAGCGUUAUUCAUAGUUAUUGGGCGUAAAGGGUAUGUAGGCGGGGAUUUAAAUUUCGUCUAAAAGGCUUGAGUUGUAACUUAAGAAGAAGACUUUUAGAUUUUUCCCCUAUAGUUAAUGUCGGGUCGGGGGUACUUCUAGCGAAAAAGUAGAAUUUUACAAUUCUGGAAGGACCACCAAAGGCGAAGGCACCCCUCCAGAGUUAACCGAAGCUGAGGUACGGAAGCGUAGGGAGCAAACAGG
rnacentral:rRNA from 1 species